CACGUAGGCGGAUAUUUAAGUCAGGGGUGAAAUCCCAGAGCUCAACUCUGGAACUGCCUCUGAUACUGGGUAUCUUGAGUAUGGAAGAGGUAAGUGGAAUUCCGAGUGUAGAGGUGAAAUUCGUAGAUAUUCGGAGGAACACCAGUGGCGAAGGCGGCUUACUGGUCCAUUACUGACGCUGAGGUGCGAAAGCGUGGGGAGCAAACA
rnacentral:rRNA from 1 species